UUUCAGAUUGGGUAAAAUGGUGGGUCAAACGUCCAUUUUACGGCCGUAUUGUUGGGUCUUUAGUCGAUUGUCGGGUCCCAAAGUCGAUUAUCGGGCACUUGGACCCGACAGUUGAAGACCCACUUAAAAAAAGGCUGCUUAACAUACUCAUGACUAUUUUUAAAUUCAAAUUUGCAUGUGUAAUUUUACUCGAAUUGUCGGGCCUAUAUCUCCCAUUAGCACACAUUAGGUCAAACUCCACACAGCAGUUACUUCCCUUGGGCAUUCGCCAAUCAUUAAUGUCUUUUUCUAGAAUAAGGGAGGCCACUGCGUAUGAGAUUGACCAACCUCGGCGCAGUGAUUUACCGGGAACCAGCAUAGCAACGAACGACAACUCGGCGCCCGACAACUCUGUAAUAUAAAUUGCCAAUUUUCGCGGUUAAACUUAAAAAGAGUCCAUGUCAACUGCUGACAGUGAAGAGCCAGGCAGUCUGACCCAUGAUAGGAGGGAGCCAAGUGAAGAGCCAGCCAGUCUGACCCAUGAUAGGAGGGAGCCAAGUGAAGAGCCAGCCAGUCUGACCCAUGAUUCUUGACAUGACUCAUGGUGAACUAAAAUUGCUUGCAAAGCAUCUGGGACAUGAUGUGAAGACCCACAAGGAAUAUUAUCAGUUGUCUUCCAGUACCAUGGAACUCUCAAAGGUAUAUAUUUCAUUAAUAAAAAUCUUUAAAUUUUCCAUACACAGAUAUUUGAAAAACUAAAUGCUAUAUUGUAACUAAGAGGGCUAAAAGAAAGAAUAAUUUAACAGGCAGCCACAGUAAGACCAUAUCUGAUGUUGACUUUGACUAGUAUGCUUUGCAUUAAUGGCUUUUUAUGCCCCCUGGAUCGAAUGAACGGGGGUAUAU